GACGAACGCUGGCGGCGUGCUUAACACAUGCAAGUCGAACGGAAAGGCCCUGCUUUUGUGGGGUGCUCGAGUGGCGAACGGGUGAGUAACACGUGAGUAACCUGCCCUUGACUUUGGGAUAACUUCAGGAAACUGGGGCUAAUACCGGAUAGGAGCUCCUGCUGCAUGGUGGGGGUUGGAAAGUUUCGGCGGUUGGGGAUGGACUCGCGGCUUAUCAGCUUGUUGGUGGGGUAGUGGCUUACCAAGGCUUUGACGGGUAGCCGGCCUGAGAGGGUGACCGGCCACAUUGGGACUGAGAUACGGCCCAGACUCCUACGGGAGGCAGCAGUAGGGAAUAUUGCACGAUGGGCGGAAGCCUGAUGCAGCAACGCCGCGUGCGGGAUGACGGCCUUCGGGUUGUAAACCGCUUUCGCCUGUGACGAAGCGUGAGUGACGGUAAUGGGUAAAGAAGCACCGGCUAACUACGUG
rnacentral:rRNA from 1 species